CCUACGGGGUGCAGCAGUGGGGAAUAUUGCGCAAUGUGCGAAAGCCUGACGCAGCGACGCCGCGUGAGGGAUGAAGGUCUUCGGAUCGUAAACCUCUGUCAGCAGGGAAGAACGGUCACUGUGCUAAUCAGCAGUGAAUUGACGGUACCUGCAAAGGAAGCACCGGCUAACUCCGUGCCAGCAGCCGCGGUAAUACGGAGGGUGCGGGCGUUACUCGGCAUUACUGGGCGUAAAGCGCUCGUAGGCGGUAUGUCAAGUCAAGGGUGAAAUCCCCGCGCUCAACGUGGGAACUGCCUUUGACACUGGCAAACUGGAGUGUGUGAGAGGAUAGUGGAAUUCGAGGUGUAGGAGUGAAAGCCGUAGAUAUCUGGAGGAACAUCAGUGGCGAAGGCGACUAUCUGGCACAUAACUGACGCUGAGGAGCGAAAGCGUGGGUAGCAAACAGGAUUAGAUACCCUAGUAGUC
rnacentral:rRNA from 1 species